GACGAACGCUGGCGGCGUGCUUAACACAUGCAAGUCGAACGGAAAGGCCCUGCUUGCAGGGUACUCGAGUGGCGAACGGGUGAGUAACACGUGGGUGAUCUGCCCUGCACUUCGGGAUAAGCUUGGGAAACUGGGUCUAAUACCGGAUAGGAGCCAUCUUUAGUGUGGUGGUUGGAAAGUUUUUUCGGUUUAGGAUGAGCUCGCGGCCUAUCAGCUUGUUGGUGGGGUAAUGGCCUACCAAGGCGGCGACGGGUAGCCGGCCUGCGAGGGUGUACGGCCACACCGGGCCCCAGCGACGGCCAAGACUCCUAAGGGAGGCAGAAGGGGGGCAUACUGGACCCUGCGCGCCAGCCUGAUGCAGCGACGCCGCGUGGGGGAUGAACGCCUUUGUGUUGUAAAAUAAUCUGGAUAGUGACGCCGCGUUGUUCUGACGGUACCUAGAGAAGAAGCACCGGCUAACUACGUG
rnacentral:rRNA from 1 species